AUACCUUUCUCGGUCUUUUGGCUAAGAUCGAGUGUAGUAUUUGUUUUUAUCAGUUUAAUAGUUGAUAAGUGACUCAUCGGUUCACGUGAUAUUAAAUUAAUUUUUUGAGGGGGAGAGGUCCAUUACAGUAGUUUGCUAUUGGGGUCUUUUGAGCGUUGUUUAGGCAUUGCACUAUUAUCUUGGCAUGGUGCACCCCAC